GCCUACCAUGCAGUUCGAGCGGAUGACAGGGAGCUUGCUCCUGAAUUCAGCGGCGGACGGGUGAGUAAUGCCUAGGAAUCUGCCUGGUAGUGGGGGACAACGUUUCGAAAGGAACGCUAAUACCGCAUACGUCCUACGGGAGAAAGCAGGGGACCUUCGGGCCUUGCGCUAUCAGAUGAGCCUAGGUCGGAUUAGCUAGUUGGUGAGGUAAUGGCUCACCAAGGCGACGAUCCGUAACUGGUCUGAGAGGAUGAUCAGUCACACUGGAACUGAGACACGGUCCAGACUCCUACGGGAGGCAGCAGUGGGGAAUAUUGGACAAUGGGCGAAAGCCUGAUCCAGCCAUGCCGCGUGUGUGAAGAAGGUCUUCGGAUUGUAAAGCACUUUAAGUUGGGAGGAAGGGCAUUAACCUAAUACGUUAGUGUUUUGACGUUACCGACAGAAUAAGCACCGGCUAACUCUGUGCCAGCAGCCGCGGUAAUACAGAGGGUGCAAGCGUUAAUCGGAAUUACUGGGCGUAAAGCGCGCGUAGGUGGUUUGUUAAGUUGGAUGUGAAAGCCCCGGGCUCAACCUGGGAACUGCAUUCAAAACUGACAAGCUAGAGUAUGGUAGAGGGUGGUGGAAUUUCCUGUGUAGCGGUGAAAUGCGUAGAUAUAGGAAGGAACACCAGUGGCGAAGGCGAUCACCUGGACUGAUACUGACACUGAGGUGCGAAAGCGUGGGGAGCAAACAGGAUUAGAUACCCUGGUAGUCCACGCCGUAAACGAUGUCAACUAGCCGUUGGGAGCCUUGAGCUCUUAGUGGCGCAGCUAACGCAUUAAGUUGACCGCCUGGGGAGUACGGCCGCAAGGUUAAAACUCAAAUGAAUUGACGGGGGCCCGCACAA
rnacentral:rRNA from 1 species